rnacentral:lncRNA from 1 species
CGUUGCCUCAUGCGUGCCAGGCAAGUGCUCUAUCACUGAGCCAGAACCCCAGCCCCAAAAAAUCUCAAUAUUUAACAGUAAAUUUCUGAGGCAGAGACAGUCUCUGUGAACCUGGUCCUGCAAACCUGAGCAAGCAGUCCCUGCAGCGAUGCGAUGGCACAAUGAGGACCAUAUCCAAGUGCUUCAGAGAUGUCUUUUUUGUCUUCUCUGGUUCCGCUGGCACCUUCCCUUCUCACUAUCUGUCCUCUGUCCAUCUUUCCAUUCUUUGUCUCUUCUGCUAGAGAUCCCUUCCUGUCCCCUUCUAACAGAUGAGAAGUCUGAGCAUUUUUACAUUCCUGGUCUCUCUUUUGCCUCUGCCCCCCACACACUGGGGUCUGAUCCCAGUAGGAAUGCCACUACAGGUGGCCUUACCUUGAGGCUCUGUAUCCUUUACACAUGUAUACCCUAGUCGGGUGUUCCUAGUGCCCCAGUGCCCAGAGUUGUAACUGGAAAAGGGAUUUAUUUGCAUGGUCCAACUAUACCCAGGAUUCUCUACCUGAGCCUUCCCACCACACAGCCUACUCUCUGUGCCCACACAGUGUUAGGCAGUCCUCCACCAAACCCACAGCCAUGGUGACACAGGCUCCACAGUGACUUGAGAAGACCCCUCUCAGUCUCCUUCAGUCUUAUGACCUGGCUGCCACAUCCUCUUCCCAGCUCUGCUAGAGGCCACAGGGCUUGUUCCAUUUUACACUUCAGCCUGUAGGAUGAAUGGAUACCAUUCCCAGAUGAACCUCUCUCUCCAGAAGGUCCCAGGGUAUUUUAAGUCAGGAGACCUAAGGUCACCUAGGAUAACUGAACAUAGAGGUGGCAGAAGACUGGUUAAAACUGCCAUGGUUAGCCAGGCACAAUGGUGCAUGAUUUUAAUCCCAGCAACUCUGAAGGGUGAGGCAGAGGAUUGCAAAUUCAAGGCCAGCCUCAAGAACUUAGCAAGACCCUAAGCAACAUAGUGAGACCCUGUAUCAAAUUAAAAAAAAAAAAAAAAAGAGCUGGAGAUUGUAGGUCAGUAAUAAAGCACAUUGAGUUCAAUCUUCAGUACCCAAAUCAAUCAAUCACAUGGUCACAUAUUCAUUCUUACUCAUUAAUAAGUUCUUAGAGCUUCCUUUCCAGCCUGAUCCUCUGUAUUCUUCCAUUUAUUCUUCCCAGAGCCCACACAGGGGAUGCCAGCACAGCCCACCUCACAAGUGAGCUAAAGUAUAGGGAGGAAUAUGACCUCUGGGGCUAUGCAGGCCCAGCUGGACCAAGAGGCAGCUCAGUCCAAUUCUCACAGCCUUGAGCCCCUGGAGAUACUCGUAAGCCUGGGAGAGAGAGCACUUGGUGAUAGAAGAGGUCCACAGCACGGAUGAGAAAAGGGCUGUGGGAAGAGGGCUCUCCAAAGAAGAAACAUACAGCUCAGAAAGAGGCCCCUCCUCUUUGGGGAAAGAAGAGAAUCUGGGUGGGCCCUGGACUCCACCCAAGAAGCCCUCAGCUUGGGCACUGUCCUGAGAUAGGAACCCCUCCCAGCAGUUCCCAGGGCUCCUCUGCCAUCUGCUGUGGCAUCCCCAUGUCAUAUCCCAUAUGUCAGGCCUUCCCCUGAGGGAAGUUGAUGGACAGAUGGGAAGUGUGGCUGUCAUACCAUCUCCUUCCAGGCAGUGCGAAUUCUACCUGGCCUCCUCCCCCUCUUCCCGAUGCCUCCCUGGCAUUCAGGGUCACCAGCCAUCAGUCUGAACCUCUGCCCCUAGCAGGUACAAAGCUCUGGCCCUGGGCUGCUGUGGGCAGGCCUUUCACUCAGCUUGCCCAUCACCGAUCUUCAGGACACAGACUGGAUAGUCUAGGUAAGGCAAAGCAGGCCUGGGGCUCCCUCUUCCCCCACAGGUGAGAAGCACCCUUGGCCUGACAGUGCUCUGGGCCACUAACCACUGGAAGUCAUAGCCUGGACCACUGACCACACCUUCAGAAACAAGCUCAUCUCACCCAGGCCCCUCCUCUCCCUGCCUAGGCUGGAAAUAGCAGUCAGGAGAUUCUUCUGGGAUUGUAACGGCUGCAGAGCCCUCAUCAAUAAUUGAUUCUGCAGAAGCAGUGGAUUAAGUGCUGAGAAGAGGUCUCAAAGCCCUAGGCCCCAAGUCAGGAAGGAAGAGCCCAC